rnacentral:lncRNA from 1 species
CCAGAUUAGAUUGUACCCUGGCGAAUAAGCAAGAGUUCUUUUUCAUUUUCAUCUUGCAAUUCAACUGGGUAUUUGGGUUCUUUUUCUAUUCACUCAUGUCAGAUAGAGACAUGCAUGUUGUAAAUUAUUUUGUCAGAAUGAAAGCCUGGCAGAUUAAAUGCUUUCUUCUCUUCUUGCUUUACUUGAUAUCAAUCUCUUGUUCAUUUCUUGAUAAUAUGUUUGGUUAUUUUUGUUUUCAUUGCUUUUAGUGUCAGAGAUGGCUUUGGAUUCCCCGUUCUGUGUGCUGCUGUCUGGCUCCUGAACCCAGCUGUAGAGGUGUGUGUCAAUCCCAACUGGUGAAGUACUGAGAAGAAGCUACACAAAAGGCAGCAAAGUAUUAGUGAGUAGUGUCAUUGAGCAAACACAAAGUCGGGCUCAUCCAAGGAUGAGAUUUUGCCAGAGAAAGGACGAGCAGCAAGUCAGGGAGCUUAAGGUAAUUAUGGGAAAGUGACUAUCUGCAAUUGCUUAGGUAGAAGGAGACAGAUUGGAUUUUUGUGUGUUUGGUAUUUGGGAUAAGAGGGAUUUCUAGAAAGGAAAUCCCUCACAGCAACUGGCACCAUAAUCAAGACAGAAUUUUUGCAGAAUAAAUGGAGUUACCUGCUUUCAGCCCCAGGUCGUAGCUAUUGUCUGCCCUGCUGAUAUGUGAUAAUAAUUUGUGAUCCUG